rnacentral:rRNA from 1 species
AGAGUUUGAUCAUGGCUCAGAACGUACGCUGGCGGCACGCCUAACACAUGCAAGUCGAACGAAGUAGCAAUACUUAGUGGCAGACGGGUGAGUAACAUGUAGGUAUCUGCCCUUUGGCCUGGAAUAACACGAGGAAACUUGUGCUAAUACCGGAUAAGUCUUAACGGAGAAAGCUUUAUGCACCAUUGGAUGAGCCUGCACUUGAUUAGUUUGUUGGUAGGGUAAUGGCCUACCAAGACUGUGAUCAAUAGCUGAUUUGAGAGGAUGAUCAGCCACAUUGGGACUGAGACACGGCCCAAACUCCUACGGGAGGCAGCAGUGGGGAAUCUUGCACAAUGGAGGAAACUCUGAUGCAGCGAUGCCGCGUGAGUGAAGAAGGCCCUUGGGUUGUAAAGCUCUUUCGUCGGGGAAGAAAAUGACUGUACCCGAAUAAGAAGGUCCGGCUAACUUCGUGCCAGCAGCCGCGGUAAUACGAAGGGACCUAGCGUAGUUCGGAAUUACUGGGCUUAAAGAGUUCGUAGGUGGUUGAAAAAGUUGGUGGUGAAAUCCCAGAGCUUAACUCUGGAACUGCCAUCAAAACUUUUCAGCUAGAGUUUGAUAGAGGAAAGCAGAAUUUCUAGUGUAGAGGUGAAAUUCGUAGAUAUUAGAAAGAAUACCAAUUGCGAAGGCAGCUUUCUGGAUCAUUACUGACACUGAGGAACGAAAGCAUGGGUAGCGAAGAGGAUUAGAUACCCUCGUAGUCCAUGCCGUAAACGAUGUGUGUUAGACGUUGGAAAUUUAUUUUCAGUGUCGCAGCGAAAGCGAUAAACACACCGCCUGGGGAGUACGACCGCAAGGUUAAAACUCAAAUGAAUUGACGGGGACCCGCACAAGUAGUGGAGCAUGUGGUUUAAUUCGAA